rnacentral:rRNA from 1 species
AUGGAUGUUUUCCGACUGGAGUCUCGUGUUGCAGCUGUCGUGGACUAUCUCGCAAGGCUGAAGGCUGCCACAUCUCGCAUCGACUCGACGCUCUGGCCUGAGGAGACACUUCAAAAUGACCUUGAGUCGCUGAUGGCCCGCUUGAACACGAUCCCUGGUCGAGUGCAGGAGUGGAAGAAGUCCUCGGCUCGGUGUGGUGCAGAUGUCGCUCUGUGUCUGGCCCGAGUCCACUGCAAAGAUGCGCGAGAAGAGAAGCUGGCGGCCCUUCGGGUGGCCAAUACCAAGAAGCACGACUUCAGGUCCUUUAUGGAGACUUUCCUUGCAGCUGCCACUCGGAUCGCCGACGGAAUUGACCUUGAUGAAUUUGUUGCACCUUCCAGCCCUCCACAGGAGGGGUAA